GACGAACGCUGGCGGCGUGCCUAAUACAUGCAAGUUGAGCGAUGAAGCUUGGUGCUUGCACCAAUUUGAAGAGCAGCGAACGGGUGAGUAACGCGUGGGGAAUCUGCCUUUGAGCGGGGGACAACAUUUGGAAACGAAUGCUAAUACCGCAUAACAACUUUAAACAUAAGUUUUAAGUUUGAAAGAUGCAAUUGCAUCACUCAAAGAUGAUCCCGCGUUGUAUUAGCUAGUUGGUGAGGUAAAGGCUCACCAAGGCGAUGAUACAUAGCCGACCUGAGAGGGUGAUCGGCCACAUUGGGACUGAGACACGGCCCAAACUCCUACGGGAGGCAGCAGUAGGGAAUCUUCGGCAAUGGACGAAAGUCUGACCGAGCAACGCCGCGUGAGGGAAGAAGGUUGUCGGAUCGUAAAACUCUGUUGGUAGAGAAGAACGUUGGUGAGAGUGGAAAGCUCAUCAAGUGACGGUAACUACCCAGAAAGGGACGGCUAACUACGUG
rnacentral:rRNA from 1 species